rnacentral:lncRNA from 1 species
AUUUUGAAAUGUUAUGUGAUGCCACUUGGAACCACAACGCUGGGCUUUGGAAAUCACCCGCCAACCUCUGAGCAGUUCCUUGAGAAGAUGCUGUUCCUCGGUUGCUUUUUCUGUAAUUAAUGUAGUUCCAAUAACAUUUUUAUUGUUCAGAGUCAACAUUGCAUUUUUUCUUCCAGGGCUACCAGAUUUGGGAAACCUCAUGAAGUAAACUGGAGCUAUGUUCAAAGGGACUCAGGUGGCCAGGGGAAAGGGAAUACAGGCCUUCAGGAUUUUUUUCCAGAGGUAUAAAGUCUUGGAAGCCGUUUCUUCCCUGAAAAGUGCCAAAGUCAUGGGACCCUCAGAACAAAAGGACCCUGCGGCUGUGGGGACAGAUGUUGAGCUAUAAGAAAGGAAUCGAUCCUUCCUCGUAUCCUUUGUCAGGAAUCAGGACAAACACACACAACCUAGUCUAAAUUUGUCAGCCGUGUCUUGGGAGACAUAAUUUGAUUGAUGGUGACACUGAACCUAGCUUACAGAGAGCAAGAGAGCCCAUAUGGUGCUUGGUGUUUUGGCAAGAAAUGUGAUUUAUGUAGGAACUUAGGGUUUUAAAUUCAACCAUGGAAUGAUUUUAAGGAUAUAAAGGAGCUUUAGGUGAGUCCAACACAGUGUAGUCUAAUGUUUUUGUUUUCAAUGAAGAAAUUGCCCCAGGGUCCCUAUAAUGUGUUACUGCUGAUUCUUAGAACUUUUGCGGUAUCUUGUCCUUCACUCACCACACAUUCUGCUACUUCCUUUGUUUUUCAAGAUGGGGACAAACAUUUUCCUUUAAGAAAAUGGUAGAUUAAAUUUACUUAUGACUUUAAAAAUGAUAUCAGCACUAUCAUUUCUUAUUGUUUCAUCUAAUCUUCUUGAGAACCUGUGGCCCAAGUUAUAUUACUGUUGUUACCACCUCUUACAGAUGAGGAACCAGGGCUUAAGAGGAGAUCCAAACACCCCAUCAGGGCCAGAACCUGGAGGAUCUCGUCUCAGAGAGGUACCCUGAGCCACCACCGGAAACCAGCGCCCUCCACUGUGGUCUCUGUGUAGGAAGUUCCUGUUGAACAUGGUUGGUCCAGCUGAUAGAGCCCGGGGGAGACAACAAACUCGGCACUGUCCAGCCCAGCACUGUCUUCCUCUCUCUUUCCCACACUCCUUUUUCUGCCAUGAUGGCCUUUCCAACCUGGGGCAGCCCACAUGUGGGUGAAGUGUUUACCCAGGGCUUCAGCUGGAUGUAUCCUUCUUGUUUUAUUUUUACCUUUGAUUGUAAAGGUCCUUAGGGCACAGACUUUUUACUGUUUGUUUAGUG